rnacentral:lncRNA from 1 species
AGUUAGAAUUUUUCCUCAAACAAAUCUUGUUGGUGGUUUUUUUUUUCUUCUCCUCUUAUAAAGUCUUAAACUUGUUCCAAGUUUAGAGGUGUCUCAUCAUCAUCAUCCUCCUCCUCCUCAUCAUCAUCACCAUUGACUCCCCCGUGGAGUCACAUUGAUAAUAAUAGGUUUCCCUGAAAGAUACAUUGUAAUCCAUUCACAUCCGGGCACUGCGGGCUUAUAAAGAGAAGGCGCUGCGGCCGCGGCUGCUCCUCCAGACAAUGACUGGGGAGGGGCGGGGCGGGAGCGGGCGAUCAUAGAGUAGUAAACACGGCGCCUAGAGAGGCGCCCAAGAUGGCGGCGCGUGCGGGCCACGCCUCCUCCGGGACCGGAGGCGGGUGGCUGCGCUCGGUCGGGUGUCGCGCGUGGGGGCUAAACUGCAAGGGCUCAUGAGGUUGGGGCUGUUCCCAGGCCCAAGCGUGUUCCUGCGCGCUUCUUCUUGCUCCCUUUGCUUGGUCUUUCCUGGGUUUUUGUUGUUGUUUUUACUCAGAAGUGUAGUUUCUAAGUAAAUGAAGGCAUUACACGCCACAGAUUUGCGCAGGGGAGUCAGAUCCCCUGGCUCACCCUGAGGGAGGCUGGCCUCAGCAACAGAAAGCCAGAGCUCGGAUUCUCCCGCAGUGUGGAGCCAGUCCUCUUAGCUAGCCUUGAACAGCGUGGGAAAAGGCGGCUGUACCAAGUUGUAGAUGCCGGGCUUGAAGAGAAGAAUAGGUAUAUCUACGAAGUUAUGCUUACGAAGAUUGGAGACACCUUAGAAAGGAAGACUCAGUAGAAUUUUGUGAAACUUGGAUAAAUAGAUCUCAACUCUUUAAUGGUCAUGAAAUGGAUUUACUGGGUUUGUUCAAAGUAAGACAGAACAACAUAGAGAAGACCAACAUACAUGGCAUGAAUUAAGAGUGAGUGUUGUUUUACAAAAGCCUGUUCCAGGUAUGUAUAUACAACAUGGUAUGUGCCUAAGAGGUUACUAUAAAAAAUAUCUAAAGCCACCACUUUAGUAUAUGGGCUUCAUUGCUUUGCUAGCAAAGGUAUUUCUGAAUACCUGAAU